ACAUGCAGUCGACGGCAGCACAGCAGUAGCAAUACUGUGGGUGGCGAGUGGCGGACGGGUGAGGAAUACAUCGGAAUCUACCUUGUCGUGGGGGAUAACGUAGGGAAACUUACGCUAAUACCGCAUACGACCUUCGGGUGAAAGUGGGGGACCGCAAGGCCUCACGCGAUUAGAUGAGCCGAUGUCGGAUUAGCUAGUUGGCGGGGUAAUGGCCCACCAAGGCGACGAUCCGUAGCUGGUCUGAGAGGAUGAUCAGCCACACUGGAACUGAGACACGGUCCAGACUCCUACGGGAGGCAGCAGUGGGGAAUAUUGGACAAUGGGCGCAAGCCUGAUCCAGCCAUACCGCGUGGGUGAAGAAGGCCUUCGGGUUGUAAAGCCCUUUUGUUGGGAAAGAAAUCCUAUCGAUUAAUACUCGGUGGGGAUGACGGUACCCAAAGAAUAAGCACCGGCUAACUUCGUGCCAGCAGCCGCGGUAAUACGAAGGGUGCAAGCGUUACUCGGAAUUACUGGGCGUAAAGCGUGCGUAGGUGGUUGUUUAAGUCUGUUGUGAAAGCCCUGGGCUCAACCUGGGAAUUGCAGUGGAUACUGGGCGACUAGAGUGUGGUAGAGGAUAGUGGAAUUUCCGGUGUAGCAGUGAAAUGCGUAGAGAUCGGAAGGAACAUCUGUGGCGAAGGCGACUAUCUGGGC
rnacentral:rRNA from 1 species